GCGGGGGUGGCUCAGCCUGGUCAGAGCGCCCGGCUCAUAACCGGGAGGUCGCGGGUUCGAAGCCCGCCCCCCGCACCA
rnacentral:tRNA from 1 species